CGCUAGUGGGCCCAUCGGCGUGCAUCUCCAGCAGAAGAAAAGGCGACGAUUAGGUGCGGGCGCCAUAAGGUCCUGACGUCCUCACCGUGGAAGAAUCGAGCAACUCCACCGCUUAACCUUGGGUAGCUUCUUCGUUCCGACUAAUUAUUAGCCGCCGAUAUCCCCGUCCUCGCUCAUCCACGGUUUCUGGAAAACCACCACCGUCCCUCCACCACCACCUCCUUCUCUCGGCGCUCUCUUUCCAUAGAUCGAAGACUGCAAGCGGGCGGCGGCGCGGUCUGCGUGAUGGCUAUGGAGCAAGAUGGAGUUUAGCUCCGUCGGCGCAUAGGAAUCUUGCAGGCGCCACCAGACGUGGCCUCCAUGAGAAGGCAGCGCGGCAGGCGACGAGGACGCAAGGAUGGAGAACUACUGAGGGAGGGUGGCUCUACGCGGCCGCGGCCAGCAGGGGUCCGCGGGCGAGCAGCCCGGUGGUGGUGCGCGGCCAGCUCAUGGAUGUGGCACUUGAACCGUGUGUUCCGCAUUGGAGGGAUUGACCAGAGCGGUUGGAUGCAGCGCGAGUGGCCGCCAGGAUGCGCGGAGGCGAGCGGCCGACACUCCGCCAGGGAUGACCGGCGCCGAGCGGUGGUGCCAACGCCGCUGCAUUGUAUCGUAGUGCACACCACCGUCCCGCUCCCCUUUACCCGUCCAGUCUGGCUGCGCGAAUCUCAGAUGCCCCGGUCUCACCGUCGCGGCGCCCCGCCCCCUCUCGACGUACUCGCCCGCUGCCGAAUUUGAUGAGUUGAGGAUCUGCUCACCGUCGAGUCCACCUGGGCGCACCUCCGAUGCGUCAGCCUCGCCGUCGCGGCGCCCUGCCUCCUCUCGGCGUACGCGCCCGCAACCAAUUUGAUGAGGUGAGGAUCUGCUCACCACGUGGGAUCACGACCCGCUCGCCGUCUUCUGCCUCGGCGCCACGGCGAGCUCGCACUCGCGGAGGAUGCCGUACGGGAGAUGUCAUGUGCCGGUCUCCGCGUCGAUCCCGCCACGGCUCACGGGCGAGGCCUGCUUGUGCCGCUUCAUCCCGCAGAUGGAGGCGGCUGUGGGCCAGCUGAGGAGGUCCGGCCUCCUCGCCCAUCAGCGUCGUUGCAUCGCGCAUGUCUCCGGCUGGAGGUAAUACAUGCUCAGCAAGUUCGUGAGCGGCGUUCAACUCAGCGACGGAGCAACGGGAACCUGCUUCGUAACCUCCUCUUCGUAUCCGAAGAAUGGUCUUGCCCAGGACAUGUUCGUUCGAAUGGGCAGCAAGUUGGGCAUGAAUGAUUGCUGGGUGAGUUGGUCUGAUUCGCUUGGAUCGGAGGUAGUUCCAAAUCUGAUACAGAGCUGGGAAUUAUUUUUAACUUUUUUUUUUAUCUGGUUGAGUACUUGUUUUCUGUAUGAAGGAGAUAAGACUCAAUAAUGCUUUCUGUCAGCUAUCUCGAGUUCUGAUCGAAGGUGUAGGAUCGACUAAAACAACGAUAGGAAGACAUGGACACACCGAAGAGGGGCAUAAUUAUGUUGUUGUGUCAUCACCAUUUUAUCUGCUUAUUGUGGUUUUUGUUUCCUAGAUAGUUUUCUUUUUGUAAGAAAAAUCAAGCACGAUAAGGGAUUCUUUUGGCUCUUUGUAGGUACAGUACAUGCUGCAGCACUCAGUUGUAGUUCUCCCUUGGUACUUUAGUUACGGCAGUAUGGUUAGAAUGCGGUCAAUUGUUCUUAAAAGUUUUGAAGUGGUGUGCAUAUAGCACAUAUGCUUAUCUGGUUCUUAAUCUAAGCAGUAGAUUUAUCUGGA